AGGUGGAUGUUAGGGUCUUGACAGCAGGGGCACCAUCAUCUUGGACAAACACCACCUCUUUAAGUUCUAGCUCCCUUUCUAACCUCAUGCAUUUCAAGGAAAUCACUUCUCUUCUAACAACAAGCAGCAAGAAAGAGCAGACAGUAAAACACAGAUAAGACAGGUGCACUAAGAUAGGAAAGCUAAAAGAAGACUCAGGGGGUAUGCCUGCAGCUGCAGGAAGAUGUAUACAAAAACUCUCCCUCCCACAUAAGCAAGACAAAGAGACACAGAAACAUUCGAAGCCUGUGAUAAGGUGGCUUUCUAUGGCUAACUGCCCCUAAACCCUGAAAUGUUCCAACUAAUAAACAGGUAUUUCAAGAUUUCUGAUGUAAUAGAAGUGCAUUAAUUCCAGGAAUCAUUGUACUUGUGUAAAGUCUGUGCCUAUGGAGAAUGAGAGUGUUGUUGAUAGUAUUGAAUUAAGUAAAGUAGAAAUCAUUUUUAAUUAAAAAGUAUUAUUCUUAGCUAAUGU
rnacentral:lncRNA from 10 species